GCCCGCGCCCGCGCCGCGGCGGUUGGGGGCGGUGUGGCGCGCGCGGCCGUGGGGCGCGGGGAGCUAUCGUGAGAAAAGUACCAUUAAUUCCUACCAAAGAACGGUAAGAGCAGGUGAAUAUGAUGCUCUUGCAGUUGUACUGUUGCAGUUGACUGAGAAAUGCAAGAUUCACUGUGCACUGUGUUGCUUCUUGAAAGCAUAUGCAUCUUACUGAACACGCGAGCUUAUUUGGAAUGUGGAGGUAAAUGAAGACGUAUCAAAGUUAUCUUUGAAUGGAAAAACACUAUCAUCAUCAUACUUGAGACUGGAUCUGCUGUCAUGCAAGAUAAUAGAAAUCUUUGCUUAAAAGGAGCAGUACUUCUGGCUGGGGUGGGAGGGGAGAAAACCAGGUUGACCUUUUGAUGAAC